rnacentral:rRNA from 1 species
CGUACACUCCUGCGGGAGGCAGCAGUGGGGAAUUUUGGACAAUGGGCGAAAGCCUGAUCCAGCCAUGCCGCGUGCAGGAUGAAGGCCUUCGGGUUGUAAACUGCUUUUGUACGGAACGAAACGGCCUUUUCUAAUAAAGAGGGCUAAUGACGGUACCGUAAGAAUAAGCACCGGCUAACUACGUGCCAGCAGCCGCGGUAAUACGUAGGGUGCAAGCGUUAAUCGGAAUUACUGGGCGUAAAGCGUGCGCAGGCGGUUAUGUAAGACAGUUGUGAAAUCCCCGGGCUCAACCUGGGAACUGCAUCUGUGACUGCAUAGCUAGAGUACGGUAGAGGGGGAUGGAAUUCCGCGUGUAGCAGUGAAAUGCGUAGAUAUGCGGAGGAACACCGAUGGCGAAGGCAAUCCCCUGGACCUGUACUGACGCUCAUGCACGAAAGCGUGGGGAGCAAACAGGAUUAGAUACCCCGGUAGUCCCAUGA